rnacentral:lncRNA from 1 species
AAUUUUUGUUCUCAUUGAUUGAACAAGCAAGGAAUGGCCCACACAGAGGAAUCCUGAGUUCACAAUACCCUUCUGAAAUGCAGAGCUGGUGAAACAUGUAUCCGUCAUCCAUUGCUUUCUGUGUCUUGUAGCAUACCUACUGCUGUGAUAACUGAGCACCUGUCAAGAUACUAUAUUGCUAGUCAUGGAAAUGGAAGUCAUCUCAGAUUUAUCAACAGAGAAGCUGACAUUGCUGCCUCGCAAGUUUCUCAGCUUUUGUGCCUCAACCUUGACCCUCAAGGAUCUACUUCUCAAGGCAAGAAAGCAGCAAAUUCUCCUCACGGACUUAAUCACUGUCUCCUCUGCUAUGGGUUCUGAUUCAUGAGGUGGUAGAGAUCUCUUUAACCAAACCAGAUCACCUGGAAGUACUCACUGCUAUAGGACGCAGAGUGCACACUUGCCACAAGCUGACUUCAGCAUUCCAGGUCUCAGUAAUACCCACAGUGAAGUGGAAAACUGCUCCUUGCUUGUGACCACAAGUGGAUCACUGAUGCUAAUGGGCACCUUUCAGACAUUAAGGCUCUGGCCGUAUUUGAACUCCAAGACAUUCUUCAUACCCUCAUUGUCCUUUGAGCUCACAAAGGAUGCUCACAAUCUUGCAAAAAAGCCGUGCUCCAAAGUCAUCAAGUGAUAUUAGAUUGUGUCUCAAAACCACUAGAGGUUCCCUCCAUUUCCCAGAAGGUGUCCCGGAGCUGGAGCCAAUUCAGCUGCCAAGAUGCUGCCUUUCUCACCUGCUGAUUGCAAUUAGCCACUGCCAGCUGGGACCUGGUGUGCCACUGAAGAACUAACAAGAAGCAGAGACCAGCAUGAUGCCUCGACAGCAUAUACACAGUGAAUAAAUAAGAAAUGCUGCACUGUAUCCCUGAAGUUGCUUCACCACAAAAGCAAUUCCUAUGUCCCUACAUGCAUGUCAGAGAUUCAGCUUGCUUCUCAUGCUCUUACCUCAUGCUGUCACAUACUUGCCAGGAAUGAAACACGGGGAAAUGAAGGUUACUGAUGGUAAAAACAAACCCAGCUGUGGUCUUGUUAAGAAAUCUUUUGGCUCACCUCUAUCCUCAGGCAGCACCCAUCAUCACAGGGGAGAGGUCACCUCUGAUUAUGGUG